UGGGGAGGAAAAACUCCCUUAGAUGGUAAAGGAAGGAACCUUGAGAGGAACCAGACUCAAAGGGGAACCUCAUCCUCAUAUGGGUGACACUGGGGUUGUGAUUAUAAAUAUACAGUCUGAUAAAUGUUGUGUUGGUGUAAAAGACCACAUGGAGUUCACAUCUCCUCUUUAGUAUAGCAGAGUCUAACUGGAGCUGGUAGAUCUCUAGAUGUCUCAGGAUCCUCACAGAGUCGCCCUCGUCUCAGUGGAGGUCCAAAAUCUUCAUGGCAGAAGCUGGCACAAUCAGAGCUGGUACAGUUUCUGGAUGCCUUGGGAUGUAGAAAGAGAGAAGCAGUGGAGAGGAAUUAACGUAGCUGCUGUUCAUAAUAUUAUCGAGCACUAGAUGAUAAUGUGCAUUUGGUCUGAUGUAAUAGUGCACAAUAUUAUGGGAUGUAUUAGACAUGUAUGUUAGACAACAGGUCUUCGCAGACCCGCUGUCAGGCGUGACUGGGUUUCCAAAGGAAAAUAACUAAAAGAAAAAUGAUGGCAAUACUCGCAAGGAUGGAAAAGUGUAAAAGUGCUGUUUAUUUUUAACAGUGCGAAAAACAAAGCUAAUGUGUGAGUGUGUGUGUGUGUGUGUGUGUGUGUGCUGCACGGACCAACGGGCAUAGGGACAGGUCACUCUGUCACAUCACCUCCCCCCUCUCCAGGCCGCGAACUGACCGGAUUCCGGGACAGAUAGUCAGCAAUCUUGUUCUGGACCCCAGGUCGAUGUCUGACCUUGAACUGAUAGGGUUGCAGGGAAAGGUACCACCUAGUCACCCGAGCGUUGUGGUCCUUCAUGGUAUGGAUCCACGUUAGAGCUCGGUGGUCAGUCUCCAAAGUGAAUUCCCUUCCCAGCAGGUAAUACCGGAGGCUCUCCAAUGCCCACUUGAUCGCCAGCCCCUCUUUCUCCACGGUAGAGUAUCGCCUCUCUCGGGGUAGCAGUUUCCUGCUCAGGAAUGCUAUGGGCCUUUCUUCACCCAUCUCACCUUGGGCCAGGACUGCUCCAAUCCCCACAUCUGAAGCAUCUACCUGAACUGUGAAUUCUUUUUUGAAGUCCGGACUUAAGAGGACGGGACCCGAACACAUCUGCUUCUUCAAUGUGGUGAGGGCCAGCUCACACUCCACAGUCCAGACAAUUGGGUUCCUCAUACUCUUACAGAGCAGGUUGGUUAAUGGGACGGCAGUGGUUGAGAAGUUUGGAAUGAAUCGUCGAUACCAUCCCACCAGUCCCAAGAAGGCUCGAACCUCCUUCUUUGUCUGGGGUCUUGGGCUACAUUGGACGGCUUCUACCUUGUCCACCUGUGGCCUCAGCUCGCCGUUUCCCAGAUGGUACCCCAGAUAGUUGGUCUCUGCCUUCGCCCACUCACACUUUGCCACAUUCAAGGAUAAACCAGCCUCUUGGAUCUUAGUCAGGGUGUCUCUGAGGUGCCGAAGAUGAUCCUCCCAAGUUGCACUGUAAACGACCACGUCAUCCAGGUAUGCAGCUGACCACUCUUCACAGCCUCUAAGGACUUGAUCCAUGAGUCGCUGGAAUGUUGCAGGGGCCCCAUGCAGCCCAAAAGGUAGAACCGUAAAAUGGUAUAGCCCCAAUGGGGUGCGGAAAGCCGUAUAGGGUCUGAACGCUUCCUCCAGAGGGACCUGCCAGUAUCCUUUACAGAGAUCCAGCGUGGUGAUAUACCUGGCUUGACCAAUCUUCUCCAGCAGGUCGUCGAUGCGUGGCAUGGGGUAGGCAUCAAACCUUGACAGGGCGUUCAGCUUCCGAAAGUCAAUACAGAUACGUAAUGUACCAUCUUUCUUUGGGACAAUCACAAUGGGGCUUCUCCACUCGCUCUUCGAGGGUUCAAUGACUCCCAAAUCUAGCAUCGUCCCAAUCUCUGCUUGCAGCGGUGCCACCAGCCUCUCAGGAACACGGUAUGGUCGCUGUCGUGAAGGUGUCUGGUUGAGCAGGUGGAUCUGGUGUUGUACCAAGCUGGUCCGCCCAGGCCUCUGACGGAACAACGAGGGAUAGCGGCUCAGAAGGAGGUGCAGCUCAGCCCGUUUGUCCUCUCCCAGAUGACGGAGAUCAACUUCUGCUGGCUCUCUCACCUUCGGCUCUGGUUGUUCGUCCUCCAGAUCAUCCUCCACCUCACGAAUAAACAAUACAGUCUCGGGUUUGCUGGGUGCCUCCUUCCACUCCUUAAGUAGGUUGAUGUGGUAGGUCUGUACCUUCUUACCCUUGUCUGGAUGAUGAACUUCAUACGUUACUGGUCCCAUUCUACGGACGACACUGUAUGGGCCUUGCCACUUCGUUAACAGUUUGUUUGCUGAUGUGGGCAGCAGUAACAGUACCUUCUGUCCAGGUUGCAGUUCUCGGGAUCUGGCAUGCUGGUCAUACCAAGUCUUUUGCGCUUUCUGCGCCUGUCGGAGGUUCUCUUGGGCUUUCUCCCUGUAGCUUUCCAGGCGGUCCCUCAUUUCAAGGACGUACUGGACUAUCCCCUUCUCAGAAUUCGUCCCAUUUCCAGACGCAGCGGCCUCCCACCCUUUCCGUAGGAGAUCCAGAGGUCCUUGUACCUGCCAGCCAUACAGGAGCUCGAAUGGAGAAAAGCCCGUCGAGGCUUGAGGCACCUCCCGGUAGGCAAACAGUAAAAACGGUAGCCAUUUAUCCCAGUCCUUUCCAGUGUCUGACACAAACUUACGCAGCAUGUUCUUCAGCAUUUGGUUAAAGCGCUCUACUAGUCCGUCAGUCUGUGGAUGGUAGGGGCUUGUCUUUAAGGCAGUGAUGCCUAACUGCUGGUGCAGCAACUUCAUCAGCCUCGACGUGAAAUUAGUCCCUUGAUCGGUGAGGAUCUCCUCAGGUAUCCCAACCCUGGAGAACAACUGGACAAGGGCAUUGAUGAUCUUUGGGGUUGUGAUGGACCGAAGAGGGAAGGCCUCCGGAUAUCUUGUCGCAUAGUCACUGAUGACCAGGAUGUACUGAUGCCCCGCACUGCUCCUUUCCAGUGGCCCUACAAUGUCCAUGGCGAUGCGCUGAAAGGGAACAGAUAUGACAGGCAAAGGGUGUAAGGGUGCCCUAUGCCUUUGGCGCACAGCAUUGGUCGUUUGACAUGUGUGGCAUGUGGUGCAGUAUGUUUGUACAUCAGUAUACAUGGAAGGCCAAAUAAAUCGUGAGCUAAUGCGUGCAUAGGUUUUCUGGAGUGCCAUAUGCCCUGCUCAUGGAACACUGUGACCUAGGUGUAACACAAGGGGACGACAACAUGUAGGGACAACCAGACGGGUAGAUUCAUGAUUUUGCAUGUACAAUAUAUCAUUGACAACAACAUACUUUUCCCCACAUAAGUCAGCUUGUUUCCCCUCUAACACCCUGGUAAACAGUGGUUUCAACGACUCGUCAGCUUUUUGCAACUCGGCAAUGUUCUCUGGGACCUGCCAGUCAUGAUUUCCCAGACCUUCAGUUUGGAUCAUGGGAGCUGGUGUACCCAAACCUUUUUCCAGUCGCCGUUGGCGACGUGACUUUCUGGGGCCUUUAGUCCCGCCCUGCAGCAGCCUAUGAUGUAAGUCAGGCAAGGGCUGCAGAGCGGUUUUCACCUGCGCCCGUGUCAUUACCGGACAAGCAACAUUGACAUCAUUAGAAAUAGGGAUGCAUGGUGCAACAGAAUGCAGUAGAUCACUGAGCACUGGUAAGUCUCUCCCUAAAAUCAUGUCAGCAGGUAGGUUAUCUACAAUUGCCACAUUCAACGGGUAAGUUUGGUCCUGCACACAUACAUUCACCUCAGUUUGGGGAUACUGUUUUACAUCUCCGUGAACACACUGUACACUGACCAAAUGAUCACAAGCAACAUGUGACAUAUGACAUUUCUUGAGCAAUGAUAAGGAGCUGCCAGUGUCCAACAAAGCAUUCAAAUAUUGUCCGUUCACAGUCACUUGCAUUCUGGGUUUUGCGCACAUUGUUUACAUUAUCUAUUGUCUCCUCUCUUGGGACAUAACAAAAGCCAGUCAAUUUUGCCUUACGAACUGGACACACUGUUGCCUUGUGACCCAGUUGUUGGCAGUAAAAACAUACAAGUUUUUUCUCAGGCGCCCCUCUCUGUGCCUGAGUUGUAUCAAAGUCAAUGUUAGGUCCCCCAGACCUAUUGGAAGUGUUUUUAACAUUACCUUUUACCGGUUGAGAGCGCUGACUACCACGGUGAGCGUGGAGAUACUGCUGCGCCAGCUUAGCAGCAUCCAGUCCAGUUGCUGGCUCGUGUUCCUUGACCCAUACCCGAAUCUCAUAGGGUAGGACCCGCAGAAACUGCUCCAGAACCACUGUCUCACCGAUCUCCUCCUUUGUGUGCAGCUCAGGUCUCACCCAGCGACGGUAUAAAUUCCUCAGUCUGUUGUAUGUCUCCGUUGGUGAUUCUCCAGCUGGAGUCGACAUGGCUCGGAACCGCUGGCGGUAAGUCUCCGGGGAAAUGUUAAAUUUCUCCAACAGCGCCUCUUUCAGCUCGGCAUAGUCCACCGCUCGGUCCUCAUCCAUUGCCAGGUAGGCUUCGAACGCUUGUCCCGACAGCAGGGGCACCAGCUGGUAGCUCCACUCCUCCUCUGGCCAUCUCCAGGUCCUAGCGAGCCACUCAAAGCGGUGCAAGAAGCUCUCGAUGUCCUCCCCUUGCUGGAAGACUGGCAGCUUCGGCUCCGUUCGUGGCAUCGGCUGGUGGUGGUGCCCCAUGUCGCUCCGUGAGUCUCGGUCUCCCCGACAAGCUGUGCUUUUCCGCCGGGCUGGUGUAGGAAGCUCCAUACGUGGACUGUCGUCCUCAGUCGGCUCCUCAGCCGGCCGGACAGCUUGUAGAAUCGACUCUCGAAGACUCUGUAUCUCCUUUACAUAACGCUCCUCCCUCUGCUCUUGUGCGUUCAGGAAGUCACGUAUCACUGAAUACAUCUCACCUUUAGAUGUCGCCGCAGGUGACUCGGGUCGUCGGGGUGAUGCCACCUUGGGAUGCGCUGGUGGAAGCUCUCCCUCCUCCUCUGUAGACUCAGCCGUGUCCCAGGCCACAUCAGACUCAGCCAUAGCCUUGCUCUGUGAGCGAAGCCCCACUCUAGGUUUUCGACCUCUGGUUGCAGACUUGCGAGUAGCCAUCCCACUUCUGACACCAAAUGUUAGACAACAGGUCUUCGCAGACCCGCUGUCAGGCGUGACUGGGUUUCCAAAGGAAAAUAACUAAAAGAAAAAUGAUGGCAAUACUCGCAAGGAUGGAAAAGUGUAAAAGUGCUGUUUAUUUUUUACAGUGCCCCAGAGGUGAAUACCGACCCAACACUAUUUACAAAAAUAACCAAGGAAACACCCGAAAAAAAACAAAAGGAAAGAAAAUAUAAAUAUAUAUAUAAAGUCCACUACUUUCAGACAGAAUAAACCGCUCACGGCACCACACUUGCACGCUCGCUAGCCAGGUAAAACUGACCCAGAUCUCUCUCUGGGGCACCUUCUUAUAGGCCAAGCCCCGCCCCUUUUUGGACCAUCAUUAACACCGGAGGUAAGUAAAUAGGUAAGUAUGUACAUUCACCCCACACAACAUAAUUUUAUAUAUAUAGACAUAUAUCAACUAAAUAUUUCUAGAACCCAAAACCAAAAGCUGAUCAAAAUAAACACAAAAGAUAAACAAUAAUAAUAAAACACAGAACAUUAAUAUCAAACUUAAUUAUUCCCCCUGUAGCAGACAGUAUAAUGGUCUAGCCGGCUUCCGGCUGCCCCACGCCGACACGCCCACUCACAGCGCACCCGGCGCUAUUUAUCCAGGCCGCUGGUGGCGCUCGGGUUCGACCGGCCGAUGAUGGAGAGGCAACGUGGAAGACCGGCAACACAGACGCUGACAAACACUCACAACAGUGUCACCCAAAUGAGGAUGAGGCUCACUUCUGAGUCUGGUUCCUCUAAGGGUUUCUUCCUCAUAUCAUCUCAGGGAGGUUUUCCUCACCACCGUCACCUCAGGCUUGAUCAUUAGGGAUAAAUAUUAAGUCUAAGGGAAAGAUGGUGAAACUGGUGAGGCUGCUGAACCCCUGGAGAAAAGGAGAGUGGAAGGGAGACUGGAGUGAUAACUCGCGUCUGUGGAAUGAUUUGAGUGAGAAGGAGCGUGAAUCCUGGCUGGAGAUUAAGAACAACAGAGAGUUUUGGAUGUCGAUGGAUGUUAUCAUGAGCUGGAUAUCUGCUGUAUUGGUCUCGAUUUCCUCAUUUAAUCCACUGCAGUCCGUCUGUAAUCUAUAACUCUUCAUAUUCUGUUGUUUAUUUCUGAUCACAGCUCUACACAAUACUGAGGUUACUGUGGUGUGUUUCUAAGCCGUAUUAAGUUUGGUUUUGGACAGAAAAAGUCUAGUAUUUUUAAAGAGAUCAGUUCCUCUAUGAUCUGCAGAAUAAGGCUUGUGAAUGAUCACAUGAUGUAUUUAGU